CCCCGUGGCAGGGUGGGCUCUUGAAUAAUGAGCAGUGAAAUGACCAAUGGCAGACUACAAGAGAAGUCAUUCAGAGGCCUGGCCACUGUAUGGUUACCAUGAAGAAACCUGCAUAGCUUGACUUCCUGUCUUCACUCGCCUAUCCCUACGAUAAACUUCCCGUCCCUUGUGGAAAAUUAAGUGCGUGGUAUCUCCAAAGAUAAACAAAAGACCCAGCCAUGUCUAUAUACCUACCUGCAGCUUCCAAACGAAAAUGUGUCUUGCCUGUCUGCAGCAGACUUUGCCUGGAACCCAUCUCCACACCUGGCUUUGAAAUCUCACCUCUGUAAUGAGCACCAUCCCUUCCUCUGACCACCGUGCAUUUGGAAUUUGCAAACGCCAGGACCUUGUGUUCACGGUACAAUUAGCACUAGGUGCUUCAGGGCCUCUAGCAAAAGUUGCCAGAUUGUUUCAACCACAUACCAGACAAAUGCCAAAAACUUAUGACUUCUCCUAAAUUACAUUUGUGAUAUAGGUCAUUUAUUGACAGUCAACAAUACAUCUUAUAUAUUGCAAUAGAUUCUGCAGCUUUCUUAAAUUUUUUUUUUUUUGUAAAGUCAGUUUUGCUACCAAACAUGUUAAACUGUGUGUGCAUGGGUAUGUGCACACUCACCACUCCAUCCUACUGCAUUCAUCUGACCACAGUUACACUUGACAUUGAUGUAGCCUAUUUUUAGAAAGCUGCAAUAGAUUCUGUUUAAAAAAAUGAGCUUAUAGGUUUUAGAAUAUAUAUCAAAUUACAAAUGCACUCAUCUUUCACCAAGUAUUUUUACUUCUGUUAUACAGACAUUCCUACAGAUGUGUGAUAUGACAUGGGUACAGGGUUAUUCACUGGAGCAUUGCCUGUAAGAACAAAAUAACUUAAAAAAAAUCAUCAUCAUGAGACUGGUUUAGAAAACUGCAGUACAUUCUCACAAGGAGAUAAUGUAGUUAUAAAAAGGAAGCUGUGUAUGUAUUGAUAUGAAACAAUUCCUAAGACAUGAUGUUAAGAAAGCAAGGUGUACGAUUAAUUAGUGUAGUAUGCUUGUAUAAGAAAAGAAUACGUAAAGAAUAUGUGUAUGUAUAU